AAUCAUGUGAUGAGAAAAUAAAAACUGCAACAAUAUGAUGGAUUUGGUCCAUGAUUCCUAAUAUUUAUAUACAACUCUGAUGAUU